rnacentral:rRNA from 1 species
CCUACGGGGGGCUGCAGUAAGGAAUAUUGGUCAAUGGGCGCAAGCCUGAACCAGCCAUGCCGCGUGAAGGAUGACGGCCCUAUGGGUUGUAAACUUCUUUUGUACGGGAAAAAACCACCGGUCGUGAAUCGGUGCUGAUGGUACCGUAAGAAUAAGCAUCGGCUAACUCCGUGCCAGCAGCCGCGGUAAUACGGAGGAUGCGAGCUCUAUCCGGAUACAGUGUGCGUAGGGGGAAUGCAAAGUCAGUAGUGAAAGCCUACAGCUUAACUGGAGAACUGCCAUUGAUACUGUUAUUCUUGAGUGUUGUUGAGGUAGGCGGAAUGUGUCAUGUAGCGGUGAAAUGCUUAGAUAUGACACAGAACACCGAUCGCGAAGGCAGCUUACCAAGCAACAACUGACGCUCAUGCACGAAAGCGUGGGGAUCAAACAGGAUUAGAUACCCUAGUAGUC